CCAGGCUUUUUCCGCUACGCUUAGCGAGGGGCGUAGCGGAAAGAGCCUGGAU
rnacentral:miRNA from 1 species